AAAUAGUAAGAAUUUGACAUAAAUAAAUAGUCAGAUAUAAAGUUGGUGAGGUUAUUUCAGACUAGUAGGUAAAUAUCAUUAGAAGAGAGUCGCCAAAUAGUCUAUAGUCGUGCAAUAUAAAGCUGAAAACGUGAGGGAAUUAUAAAUAGUCAGAAUGUCAGGUGGGAAAGUGACAGUGCAUCCAAUAACAAACAACCCCACAGAAGCAUGGGAGCAGAUUCGACCAUCGCAGCGCACCAUCAAGCUCAAUGUGAAAACCCCCACCACCCCUCCUGAUGAGAGAAUGUUGCGUUUUGUGUGCAUGAGUGACACACACAGUCUCACAUCGCACAUCCAGCUGGACAUACCGGAUGGUGAUGUCUUCAUUCAUGCUGGAGAUUUCACGAGAUGUGGUAGUGCUGUUGAGGUCGAAGAAUUUAACAACUGGAUAGGUGCUCUUCCACACAAGCAUAAGGUUGUUAUAGCUGGUAAUCACGAGUUAAGCUUUGACAGCAAGUUCACAACCACCUCAAGGCAGCAUCACAAAACAGCACAUACAGGAGACAGUCUUAUCAAUGAGAUUCCUGAUCUAGGGAUGGAACGGGAGGAAUUGUGCGCAGCCGUUGCCGAGCAAAAUGCAAUUGAUUUGGUGACCAAUGCCAUCUACUUACAGGAUCAGGCUCUUACAAUAAGUGGCAUCAGACUCUAUGGAACUCCAUGGCAACCAGAGUACUGCAACUGGGCCUUCAACCUACCGAGAGGCAAGUCCUGCCUGGAGAAGUGGGAUGCCAUACCAGAGGACACAGACAUCCUGAUUACGCAUACCCCUCCUGUGGGUCAUGGUGAUCUCUGCUGUACAGGUGUGAGGGCGGGAUGUGUCGACCUCCUGUCCACUGUGCAAACCAGGGUCAAACCUAAGUACCAUGUUUUUGGGCACAUUCAUGAAGGUUAUGGCGUGACAACGGAUGGAAAAAUUAUUUUCAUCAAUGCUUCAACCUGCAACAUCAAUUUUGUUCCCAUCAAUCCACCCAUUGUGUUUGAUGUUCCUAUUCCCUCAGGCUUUUCAAAAUGACCAACCACAUUUACUGCCUAGGAUGGGGUGCAGAUGUGGCUUCUUUUUGUUGCUUAUGGUGGAAUAAACCUAAGAUACUGAAUGAGUUUUGAAAAUUUGUGAUGUUUCAAUAUAAAAGAAAAACAAGAACUCAUCAGUUCUUAGAGAAUUGCAGUCACAUGGGCAGAAAAGAUUAGUUAAACUGAAAACAAUCAGCAACUGCAUUUAAGGUGAGGAAGACUGGAGGUUUUCCCUGCUGUUGAUAAACUUAGCAUUCCCAGUGGUUCCUGGAAAACAGUUUUUAGGUAAAACCUUUUUCCCAUUUAGACAAGCCUACUGUAUCCUUCUUUUGAUUUAUUCCAUGUAUUAUUAUUAUUAUUAUUUAUUUUAUGGAAUGACCAUGUACCUUAUACUCUCUAUCUAUACUGUAGAUUUCAUGCUUAAUUCAGCAUAAAGCUAAGCCUAGUCUAACUUUAUUUAGACCUAGCCAAGCUUAGUCUAACUUCAGUGAGACCUCAGAAAGCUUUGUCUAACUGGAUCUCUCAUCACAUCUGUAAUUAAAAACCUAAUAUUCUCGUCUAGACAGUCUGUCCUCAAUGUGAAAUACUCUCUUAAUCAUUAUAACUUGGACAACCUAUUCCAGUGCAAUCAAGUAAAAGUAAAACAUGCUUUUAACCUGACUUAAUCAAGUAAUAUGUAACCUAGUUGAACCUGACUUGACCCAAGGCAGACCAUACUAAAUGAAGAUUGUCAUCUACUUUAGUCAACUUUGUACCUGUGGUAUAAGUAGCAGAGUAGAAACUUAAGAUAAGUCUAUAUCAGUAAUCAAUUUGCUUCUGUGAAUAGACUAUGACCCAAAGAUAAGUUAUUAUUUUAUGUUGAUAUAUUUUUUCUUAUAAU
rnacentral:misc_RNA from 1 species